CCAUGCACGGCUGUUGUGAAUGAGUCGUCUUCUUUCAUGCAUCCACUCAGGGUUGUUUUCAGUCCGAUUAGUACAGCACAUUCUGUUCUGUUUCACUUCCUGAUGACUGUGCAGGCUUUAUCCCUGAAUGAACUCGCCUGCGUGCUUCUGGUUUCACCGAGACACAAGACAGACAGAUUCCCGCAACUGCCGGUCAGAUGAGGUCAUAAUGACUUGCACGUAACCAUAGCGAGGUGGAGACCAUGCUGCCACAUUGUCUGUGAAAAACAACUUCUGCAAAAACCUGGUGAUCUAAAUCUUUCUUAUCAAUAGGUGGGAGGUGCUGGACGAUGAAGGGUCGGUUGUGUUCUUUGAUCACAGUUGUUUUCUUGCUGUAUUAUCUUUGCUCUAUUGAAUAAAAUGUUCCAACAGUG